rnacentral:rRNA from 1 species
AAAAGCCUCUAGAUAGAAAAUAGGUGCCCGUACCGCAAACCGACACAGGUAGUCAAGAUGAGAAUUCUAAGGUGAGCGAGCGAACUCUCGUUAAGGAACUCGGCAAAAUGACCCCGUAACUUCGGGAGAAGGGGUGCUCUUUAGGGUUAACGCCCAGAAGAGCCGCAGUGAAUAGGCCCAAGCGACUGUUUAUCAAAAACACAGGUCUCUGCUAAACCGUAAGGUGAUGUAUAGGGGCUGACGCCUGCCCGGUGCUGGAAGGUUAAGAGGAGUGGUUAGCUUCUGCGAAGCUACGAAUCGAAGCCCCAGUAAACGGCGGCCGUAACUAUAACGGUCCUAAGGUAGCGAAAUUCCUUGUCGGGUAAGUUCCGACCCGCACGAAAGGCGUAACGAUUUGGGCACUGUCUCAACGAGAGACUCGGUGAAAUCAUAGUACCUGUGAAGAUGCAGGUUACCCGCGACAGGACGGAAAGACCCCGUGGAGCUUUACUGUAGCCUGAUAUUGAAAUUCGGCACAGCUUGUACAGGAUAGGUAGGAGCCUUUGAAACGUGAGCGCUAGCUUACGUGGAGGCGCUGGUGGGAUACUACCCUAGCUGUGUUGGCUUUCUAACCCGCACCACUUAUCGUGGUGGGAGACAGUGUCAGGCGGGCAGUUUGACUGGGGCGGUCGCCUCCUAAAAGGUAACGGAGGCGCUCAAAGGUUCCCUCAGAAUGGUUGGAAAUCAUUCAUAGAGUGUAAAGGCAUAAGGGAGCUUGACUGCGAGACCUACAAGUCGAGCAGGGUCGAAAGACGGACUUAGUGAUCCGGUGGUUCCGCAUGGAAGGGCCAUCGCUCAACGGAUAAAAGCUACCCCGGGGAUAACAGGCUUAUCUCCCCCAAGAGUUCACAUCGACGGGGAGGUUUGGCACCUCGAUGUCGGCUC